AGAAUCUAGCUCUAGGUCUGGGACAACCAUUGGAAACGGUGGCUAAUACUGGAUGUGCCGAGAGGUGAAAGGCUUGCUGCCUAGAGAUGAGCUUGCGUCAGAUUAGCUAGUAGGUGUGGUAAGGGCGCACCUAGGCGACGAUCUGUAGCUGGUCUGAGAGGACGAUCAGCCACACUGGAACUGAGACACGGUCCAGACUCCUACGGGAGGCAGCAGUGGGGAAUUUUCCGCAAUGGGCGAAAGCCUGACGGAGCAAUACCGCGUGAGGGAGGAAGGCUCUUGGGUUGUAAACCUCUUUUCUCAAGGAAGAUAAUGACGGUACUUGAGGAAUAAGCAUCGGCUAACUCCGUGCCAGCAGCCGCGGUAAUACGGAGGAUGCAAGCGUUAUCCGGAAUGAUUGGGCGUAAAGCGUCCGCAGGUGGUUUUGAAAGUCUGUUGUUAAAGAGUGAGGCUUAACCUCAUAAGGGCAAUGGAAACUACGAGACUAGAGUACGUUCGGGGCAAGGGGAAUUCCCAGUGUAGCGGUGAAAUGCGUAGAGAUUGGGAAGAACACCGGUGGCGAAAGCGCCUUGCUAGGCCGUAACUGACACUGAGGGACGAAAGCUAGGGGAGCGAAUGGGAUUAG
rnacentral:rRNA from 1 species